rnacentral:tRNA from 1 species
GGAGGCGUGGCUGAGCGGUUUAAAGCCUUGGUUUGCUAAAUCAAUGUACUUAAUGUACCGUAGGUUCAAAUCCUACC